rnacentral:rRNA from 1 species
CCAAUAGCGUAUAUUAAAGUUGUUGCAGUUAAAAAGCUCGUAGUUGAAUUUCAGGCCUGGCUGGACGGUCCGCCCUUCGGGUGAGUACUGUCUGUAGUCGGGUCCUACCUUCUGGCGAAGCGUCAUGGCCUUAACCGGCCGUGGCGGGGAACCAGGACUUUUACUGUGAAAAAAUUAGAGUGUUCAAAGCAGGCAAUCGCUUGGAUACAUUAGCAUGGAAUAAUGGAAUAGGACAAUGGUUCUAUUUGUUGGUUUCUAGGACCGUUGUAAUGAUUAAUAGGGAUAGUUGGGGGCAUUAGUAUUCAAUUGUCAGAGGUGAAAUUCUUGGAUUUAUUGAAGACUAACUACUGCGAAAGCAUUUGCCAAGGAUGUUUUCAUUAAUCAAGAACGAAAGUUAGGGGAUCGAAGACGAUCAGAUACCGUCGUAGUCUUAACCAUAAACUAUGCCGACUAGGAAUCGGGCGAUGUUAUUCUCAUGACUCGCCCGGCGCCUUAUG